rnacentral:rRNA from 1 species
UACGAAGGGGGCUAGCGUUGCUCGGAAUCACUGGGCGUAAAGGGCGCGUAGGCGGAUCUUUAAGUCAGGGGUGAAAGCCCAAGGCUCAACCUUGGAAUUGCCUUUGAUACUGAGGAUCUCGAGACCGGAAGAGGUAAGUGGAACUGCGAGUGUAGAGGUGAAAUUCGUAGAUAUUCGCAAGAACACCAGUGGCGAAGGCGGCUUACUGGUCCGGUUCUGACGCUGAGGUGCGAAAGCGUGGGGAGCAAACAGG